GGUGGCGUAGUGGUUUUGAGCGUCCGCUUCGGAUGCGGGAGGUCGCUGGUUCUAACCCCAGCCGAGUCA